CUAACUAUAGUGUAAAAAACACUUAAAGUUUCCAACUUUAUAUUUUUGUUAGUGACU
rnacentral:tRNA from 1 species